AUGGGAUCAGGCGUCCUCUCCUUCCGAAGGGGCCAUGCAUGGAGGCUGUGCUCUUUCCGUGGCCUAGACGCUUUUCCUGAAGAGGGCUGGCACAUGUGGAUCGGGCUGCGCUUUGGAACUGCCUGGAGUUGGAGCGACACGUCUUCCCUGGCCUAUGCCCGGUGGCAUCCAGAAAACCCCCCUUCCACGGCACGGGACCAGUGCGUGGUGCUGAUUCUCCAGCCGGCGGAUCCUGCCCAGCAUGGAAGGUGGAAAACCAGACCUUGUGACAUCCGUCCCGCUGGCGAAAUCACGGGCUUCGUCUGCCAGGGCAGAGAAGAUUUUUGUGGUCCCCCGGAGCCUGUCCACUUCCCUCUUCCGGGCGGGAUGGGUCCGCACGCCACAGCCGACGUUGCUUUCUCCUUGUCUGUCCGCUCUGCCUGCUCUUUGUCCUUGAUGGGCCUCCGGGCCGAAACCAACACCAGCGCCACCCUCUUCUGGCUCAGCCUGGAGUCAAAUUCCACCCAUGUGCACAGCAGCAUCGCCAGUGAGCUCGGCGGCUUUCCGGUGCGCAAGGUUUUCCCCGGAGUACCCGUUGUUCCCGGCAUCAGCACGUGGGGCUUUGUCACCUACCCCGAUGGAUUCGCCACUUUCUUCAACCAGCAGGAGCAUUUCCGGCUGUCUGAGGUCCCGGGCAUUUCUUUCGCCGGCCUCAGCUCCUUGCAGAUAAGUGGCGCCACUGUGCUCAAUGCCUCUUUAGGUAGGUUGGGGCAGAUUGCCACCCGGAGUAGACCUUUGGUCUAGAUGGUGCAGGAUGCGUGCAGGAUGCUGUUCAUUCUUUCACUGCCCUGUGCAUAUCCUGCCUUGCAUCAAACGAUGAUGGGGCAGAGUACAGAUUACAAAGCAACGUGAAGUCAUUUAAGACAACGUAAAUAGCUUUUAAUUUCAGAACCUCCUGGUUUCUGGCCCAGCCAAAAGCAUCUCAAGUAGCCAGGGCAGAAUGGGGCCCUUUUUUGCAGCCAGGGCUGGGCUGAACGGAGGGACAAGUUGGGCCUGACCUGGGUCAGCUUCGGGGCCCUUCCUGCUGCCGGGGCUGCCCCCUUCUCACAGCGGACCAUCGGCUUGACGAGAUGCCUGCUAAUGGCAGACAAGAGUUGGUUGCAUGGCGUCUCUGUGGCCGGGGAAGCUUGAUCACCCAGUCCCUCAUCAAGUUGGCGAUCCCAGGAUUUCAUGAGAUGGAGCUGUGGCAGAUUUUUUUUGCCGGAUCAAGCACCGUGUUGGUGAAAUGUGGAUACACUCUGUCGUGUCCUUUAAAAGUCCCUUAUUGCUCCUGAUCCCUUUGUACCUCUGUGUCCAUU
rnacentral:lncRNA from 1 species